UACGGGGGGGGUAAGCGUUGUUCGGAAUUACUGGGCGUAAAGGGCUCGUAGGCGGCCAACUAAGUCAUACGUGAAAUCCCUCAGCUUAACUGGGGAACUGCGUGUGAUACUGGAUGGCUUGGAUUUGGGAGAGGGAUGCGGAAUUCCAGGUGUAGCGGUGAAAUGCGUAGAUAUCUGGAGGAACACCGAUGGCGAAGGCAGCUCUCUGGCCUGCAACUGACGCUGAGGUGCGAAAGCGUGGGGAGCGAACGGG
rnacentral:rRNA from 1 species